rnacentral:tRNA from 1 species
UCUAUAAGGGGGUAUGAUGCACAAAAGUUUUUGAUACUUUGAGAAAUAGUUUAAUUCUAUUAAAUAU